GGGGAAUCUUGCGCAAUGGGCGAAAGCCUGACGCAGCAACGCCGCGAGGAGGAUGAGGGCCCUUGGGUUGUAAACUCCUGUCGGCUGGGAAGAAAUCUUCCGGGGUUAAUACCUCCGGGAGUUGACUGUACCAGCAAAGGAAGCCCCGGCUAACGCUGUGCCAGCAGCCGCGGUAAUACGGGGGGAGCAAGCGUUGUUCGGAUUUACUGGGCGUAAAGGGCGCGUAGGCGGCCUCUGCAAGUCGACUGUGAAAUCUCCGGGCUUAACCCGGAACGGUCAGCCGAUACUGCAGGGCUAGAGUGCAGAAGGGGCAACUGGAAUUCUCGGUGUAGCGGUGAAAUGCGUAGAUAUCGAGAGGAACACCUGCGGCGAAGGCGGGUUGCUGGGCUGACACUGACGCUGAUGCGCGAAAGCUAGGGGAGCGAAC
rnacentral:rRNA from 1 species